rnacentral:rRNA from 1 species
CAGCAGCCGCGGGAAUACAGAGGUCUCAAGCGUUGUUCGGAUUCAUUGGGCGUAAAGGGUGCGUAGGUGGCUUGGUAAGUUGAAGGUGAAAUCUCGGGGCUUAACUCCGAAACUGCCUUCAAUACUGCUGAGCUCGAGGAUUGUAGAGGAGAAUGGAAUUCACGGUGUAGCAGUGAAAUGCGUAGAUAUCGUGAGGAAGACCAGUGGCGAAGGCGAUUCUCUGGGCAAUUCCUGACACUGAGGCACGAAGGCCAGGGGAGCAAACGGGAUUAGAUACCCCCGUAGUCCCUGUCUCUUAUAC